AGUUCUUCUGCAGACAAAAGCAUCAGGAAGUACCCACCAUGUACCAGUGGGCCCUUCUUGAUGCCUUGACUGCAGAGGAGCC
rnacentral:miRNA from 1 species